rnacentral:rRNA from 1 species
AUUGAACGCUGGCGGCAGGCCUAACACAUGCAAGUCGAGCGGAUGAAGGGAGCUUGCUCCUGGAUUCAGCGGCGGACGGGUGAGUAAUGCCUAGGAAUCUGCCUGGUAGUGGGGGAUAACGUCCGGAAACGGGCGCUAAUACCGCAUACGUCCUGAGGGAGAAAGUGGGGGAUCUUCGGACCUCACGCUAUCAGAUGAGCCUAGGUCGGAUUAGCUAGUUGGCGGGGUAAAGGCCUACCAAGGCGACGAUCCGUAACUGGUCUGAGAGGAUGAUCAGUCACACUGGAACUGAGACACGGUCCAGACUCCUACGGGAGGCAGCAGUGGGGAAUAUUGGACAAUGGGCGAAAGCCUGAUCCAGCCAUGCCGCGUGUGCGAAGAAGGUCUUCGGAUUGUAAAGCACUUUAAGUUGGGAGGAAGGGCAGUAAGUUAAUACCUUGCUGUUUUGACGUUACCAACAGAAUAAGCACCGGCUAACUUCGUG